GCGAACACGCGCGCACACACGCGCGCUAAAAAGUAAAAACACUCUUUCAACUUUAAACAAAAAAGUAAGGCCAAAACCCGUGACCUCUAGAGUAGAGCAAAAUAAGUAACCCAUUCAAAGACCAGCCACCAUCCCCCGCGUCUCUCUCACAGCUCCUCCAAGAACAGUGUGAGUAGCAGCAGAAGCUUCUUGUUCAGUCACACCAGCAUCGGACGACAGCAGCAACAGCGUAACCCCUGCCACCGUGACCUCCUAGCACCAGUUGCGGCAGCAUCUCCUCUCUGCAUCAUGUGCUUUCCUCAUCGACGACAAUCGUUGAUUCCUUCACCGCCAACGCAACACCUGAAACCAGCAGCAACUAUCCUCUUCCAUGGUCGAUGACAAAUGCAGCUCCACCAAACACUCAGAUAGAUUCCACUAGUGCCUGCAGCAAGAAAUUGACUCUUGGAAGGAUGAGAUCCCAUUAGAGUCACUUCCUGUAUGCAUGAAGCUUCAUAAUUCUGAUGUUUGAGAUUCACAGCACAAGCCAGUAGCUGCAUCCUUGUAGAGCAGAUACUUCAAGGAUUAAUGAAUCAAAUGGCACCAUUCAAAUUUUGGUGGUAUAGUGAUCAUUCUUCACCAUUUCUCUCUUACAAAUCUAUCACUAGUGGAUCUAAAAGUGCUGCAAAUCCACGAGAUUACUCCUUCACAGUCUAUUGCCUCAUAAAUACAUGUGGGUUUCCAUUAAAUCUGCGUCUUCAGCUUCUAGAUAUCUCCGCUGGAAUGGCUUGAAAAACCUGACUGUCGUUAACCUGUUCACGUCCCAUGGUUUCUCCUGAGAUGCUUCAGGUCAAGGUCAUGCAAGUGUUAUUUAACAACCCUCGUAUCUUGAACAGAAGCUUGGAAGAACAUGUAAUCCCUAAAUAUACAUCCAAUAAGAGGAUUGUUCCUAGAGAGCAUGUCCACAGCUUGUGAUAAUAUCUUCAACAGCUUCUGAAACUAUUAAACAUGCGAAGCUCUUGCAAUCAAAUCCUUCCUAACAAACCCUUUCUGAACUUACAAUGUCUCAACAUCUUUCUUGCAUCAA